rnacentral:rRNA from 1 species
UACGGGGGGGGCAAGCGUUGUUCGGAAUUACUGGGCGUAAAGGGCUCGUAGGCGGCCAACUAAGUCAGACGUGAAAUCCCUCGGCUUAACCGGGGAACUGCCUCUGAUACUGGAUGGCUUGAGAUUGGGAGAGGGAUGCGGAAUUCCAGGUGUAGCGGUGAAAUGCGUAGAUAUCGGGAGGAACACCUGUGGCGAAAGCGGCGCACUGGACCAUAACUGACGCUGAGGCGCGAAAGCUAGGGGAGCAAACAGG